AUUGAACGCUGGCGGCAGGCCUAACACAUGCAAGUCGAGCGAGUGGCGGCCGGGUGAGUAAUGUAUGGGGAUCUGCCUGAUGGCGGGGGAUAACUACUGGAAACGGUAGCUACUCCCGCAUACCCUCAGAUGCACCCAUAUGGGAUUAGCUUGUAUGUGAGGUAACGGCUCACCUUGGCGACGAUCCCUAGCUGGUCUGAGAGGAUGAUCAGCCCCGCUGUGAGGAAGGCGCGGCCCAGACUCCGCCGGGAGGCAGCAGUGGUGAAUAUGGCGCAAUGGGCGCAAGCCUGAUGCAGCCAUGCCGCGAGUAUGGAGAAGGCCUUCGGGUUGUAAAGUACUUUCAGUCGGGAGGCGUUGCGGACAGAAGAAGCAGCGGCUAACUCCGUGCCAACGGCCGCGGUAAUAC
rnacentral:rRNA from 1 species